UACGGGGGGUGCAAGCGUUGUCCGGAAUCACUGGGCGUAAAGGGCGCGUAGGUGGCGUCGUAAGUCUGUGGUGAAAGCCCGGAGCUCAACUCCGGGUCUGCCGCGGAUACUGCGAGGCUUGAGUGCUGUAGAGGGGGGUAGAAUGCCGGGUGUAGCGGUGGAAUGCGUAGAUAUCGGGAGGAACACCUGUGGCGAAAGCGGCUCACUGGACCACAACUGACGCUGAGGCGCGAAAGCUAGGGGAGCAAACAGG
rnacentral:rRNA from 1 species